rnacentral:rRNA from 1 species
GAUGAACGCUGGCGGCGUGCCUAAUACUGGAGGUUGAAGGGAAGGACGGGAAGGCUUGUUUUUUGGUUUUAGGGGGGGAAGGGGGGGUUAAAAGUUGAUUAACCAACCUUUAGGAUGGGGAUAACUUGGGGAAACGGGGGUUAAAACGGGUAAUAAUUUUGAACCCAAUGUUUAAAAGGGGAAAGAGGUUCUGGCUGUCACUUAUGGUGGAACCGCGGUGCAUUAGCCAGUUGGUAAGGUAACGGCUUACCAAGGCAACGAUGCAUAGCCGACCUGAGAGGGUGAUCGGCCACACUGGAACUGAGACACGGUCCAGACUCCUACGGGAGGCAGCAGUAGGGAAUCUUCCGCAAUGGGCGAAAGCCUGACGGAGCAACGCCGCGUGAGUGAUGAAGGUCUUCGGAUCGUAAAACUCUGUUAUUAGGGAAGAACAUAUGUGUAAGUAACUGUGCACAUCUUGACGGUACCUAAUCAGAAAGCCACGGCUAACUACGUG